AAAGAUGUUUGGUGUUGAUAGUCAUUAGUGAGAUACAAAUUAAAAUCACAGUGAGAUGGCACUGUACACCUGUUAGAAUGGCUAAAGACUGAUUGUACACUGCUGGUGGGAAUGUAAAAUGGUACUAUCAAUGUGGAAAACAGUUUGCAAGUUUCUGAAAACAUUAAAUGUUUACCAUACGAUUUAGCCAUUCCUAUUUAUGUAAGAGAAAUGAAAGCAUAUGUCCCUAGAAAAGUGUAUACAUAAAUGUUUAUAGAAGCUUUAUUUGUAAUAACUGGAAACAACCCAAGUGUGUCUAUCAACAUGUCAGUGGGUAAACAAACUGGUAUAUUCAUAUAAAGGAAUACUACUCAGCAAUGAAAAGGAGUGAACUAGUGAUACAUUCAAUGACAUGGAUAAAUCUCAAAAUAUUAACACUGACUGAAAGAACCAGACAAAUAAAGAAGACACACUGUGUUUUUUUAGUCAGUUGGAGGUACUAUAACAGAAUUUCAUGGAUUGGGUGGCUUAAACAACAGAAAUUUAUUUCUCACAGUUCUGGAGGCUGGAAAGUCCAAGAUCAACAUGCCUGAAGACUCAGUGCUUGAUGAGGACCUGCUUCCUGAUUCAUAGCCAGCCAUAUUCUAGCUGUGUCCCCACAUGGCUAAAAGAAGGUGGACAUGCCCAGCAGGCUGCAUUUACCCUGCUGAUCUGUGGGCUAUUUUCACCCUUCUCGAUCUUUGCUAUUGCAAAUGAAUAUGCUAUGAGCAUAUUGUAUAAGUCACCUACAAGUCUUCCUGUGGACAUGUGCUUUUGUCACUCUUGGAAAAAUAAUACCUAGUAGUGGAAUGGCUGGAUCAUAUAAGCCAGAAAAUGCAUGACACAGGAGAAGAUGCACCCUUAUCUGUUCAGUGAGAGAUGUGCAAAUCAACAUCAACACAGAACUGCUGAAGAAAAAAAAAUGUCUCUGGAAAGCAACUUAUCCACCGGAGAUGUGAGGAGUCAUCCACACAUCACAAUUCUAUAGACAUCAAAUGCAAGAAGCAUUUCCGAUCUGCUUCAAGACAGAGGCAGACUUUCCAUCUGGACACAGCCAACCAUCCAUGUGUCAUUACAAUGAAUUCAGCACUUCCCUGGAAGCUGGAAGGGUCAAAUUCAACUUCAGCUCUGCCACUUACUGCUUAACUUGCUGUUUAACCUUGGGCAAGCUGCCAUCCCACAUGAGGCCGAAGGUGUUGGUUUUUAAAAUACAGAAGUUGGAUUCCAUGAAGGAUUAUCGAUAUACUGCUGGUGGGUCAAACUCCAUCUGCUACUUGCUUUUGUAAAUAAAGUUUUAUUGAAACACAAACAUACCCAUUAAUUUACUCUUGUCUAUGACUACAAGGGCAAAGUUGAAUCAUUGUUACAGUGACCAUCAGGCUCACAAAACCUAGAUUAUUUACUAUCUGCCCAUUUACAGAGUAAGUUUGCCAGCCCUGGACUGGAUGCUUUUUUGAGUUCUUUCUAAUUCUAGAAUUCUUUAUAUAUUUUAUGAAACCCCUAAUGUUUAUAUAUUAAUUAUUUCAAUACCCGUGUGUUUACUGAAUUCCUCCUAUGAAGCAUACAUCAAGAUAUAUGUGUGAUACAUUAACUAAACUUUGUAACAGUAUCUUAAAUAGGAUUUCAAUGACUAACAGCUCUUGGAAAUAUCCAAGGUAACAUUUUGGGGCAAAUGUCUUAUGAUCUGAUUAUCGUUGGUAAAUAGAGCAUAUCUUUUUUCCUACUAACAAUGUUUAAGAAGUUAAAAAAAAAAAAAUCAAGAAAACCCCGUAUGGCACUAGAGACUUAUUGCAUUAAGACAUCAUCUUAACAGAUUGUUUAGUUUUGGUAAUAUAAUUUGACAUCUAAACAUAAGCUGAGAGGGAUCUCCCUCAAAACCUUUGAUAAUAUGAUUCAUUGUCAAAUGUUUGUUUUGCCUAUCUGGCACUCAUUAAUUAAUUCUUUUUAAUAUAGCUUGGAUUUACUGAUUUUGAAAAAGAGAAUUAUUCUUAUUGAUGUUGCUAAAAUAUCCAGGUGGCUUGAAUUUCACCAACUAGAUAGUUUAAUCUAGCACAUUUGUGUAGCCCUAAUCAAAUCUUUACUAACAGAUGUGAGAAGCCCAGUACUGGAGCUAAUGUUUGUGUCUCAAUGAUAAUUAAAUUAGCUUAAUAAGGAAAAUAAAUGAACAAUAAUCACCAAAAUUUUUCUCGAAACCUGUGUUAUAGUCUUAAAAACAUUUUUCCCCUAUGGAGGCUUUUGGUAAUAAAACACAAAUUGAGGGAUUUUACUUAAAAGAAAUUUUUUUCCAAGAACUGGUCAUGUACUAAAUUGCUUAUAAUCAAAUAAUCAAGUAGCAUUUCUUUUAUCAUAAGAGCAAAACCUAUAAUUAAGCCAAAAUUCAAAUUUGUUUUCAAAGGUUGAAUAAUCCUUUGUUUUGGCCAAUAGUAUGUGGAUUUUUUCUUUUAAGGAUUAUCUCUUCGUAGUAUUUUCUAAUGGAUAGGAAAUGCCUUUCUCUGGUUGAAUGAUUAUUUCCACAUAGAAUUAGUUCCUGCUUACGAGUGCUCCACUAAUGUAAUGGCUCAGUGAAUUGUCUUUAUAAUUCAUUAAUCAUAGCUCACAUUGAGCUUCUGGAUCCGGAUGACAGUGCCCACCACAGGCCAAAUAACUUCUCAUUUAAAGGCAAUUUGUACGAAUAGGGAAGGUGAGAAUUCUCCCAGUCCCUGAGGGAUUGAAGAGCUGUUCAAAAGCCAAGAUAAGGCAUUUUAUGGAAGGCAGGUUGAUGGAAGAAAGGUGGCCAUCAGAGGAUGAGGCAAAUGGCUUUCGAGGGAGGCCCUGGUGCUGCCGCCAUGGGGAAGCCCCUGUUGCAGUUGCUGAUCAGAGCACAUUGGACGGUGCUUCCGUGUGAACGUGAAGACAAUGCUGCCUCUGUUCCUGUGACGCUGUGCUCUGACCUUGCUGGAGGCAAAGUGGUGUCAGCUGUGCUUACAGGACAGUCAGUGGUGGUGGAAAAGAGGCCAGUGUGACCUGUGGAGGACUGGGCCCCUCUCACUCAACCCGAGUGCCUGCAGCCAUGGGAAGAUCUCAAGUGACCCGUUAGCCGGAAGAGGAAAUCAAGCCUGCUAUCAAGACUGACGCUGGGAGAAUUUCUCCAGGGCACUUAGGAAAAUUGAAGAUCCGUGCCUCCUGCCACACAAGCAUUGGAAGAGAUCAAAGGCCACCCCUGGAAGCUCAAGAGUCCAUCAGGGAAGGACCAGGAGAGUCCAUGGGGACAUGGGCAAAUAUCAAAACCUAAGUUUUCUACUCAGUAAAUACCUCCGAUUCACAUCUCACUGGUUCUGGGGAAGCAAAGCGACCACUCUGUAGAAAACAGGAAACUGAGAAAGAGAUCGAUAGGUCAUCAAAGCCACCUGCUUGCUUGGUGGCCCCUCAAGUUGUCUUUUGCUCAGAAGUUCUGAGAGUUGAUGAAAGUGAUCAUUGGAAGUGCCCAGUCCAGCUCAGGCCAGUCUGUAUUGCUGCCAAAUAAACUAUUUUUAAAGUUCUUUGGGCUUUGAAAAAUGUUCUGACUGGUAGCUGGACGUGGUGGCUCAUACUUGCAAUCCCAGCACUUUGGGAGGCCAAGGCAGGCAGAUCACCUGAGGCCAGGAGUUUGAGAUCAGCCUGGUU